UAUGUGAUCGUCUCUCGCAUAUCAAUAAGCGGAGGAAAAGAAACUAACAAGGAUUCCCCUAGUAACGGCGAGUGAAGCGGGAAGAGCUCAAAUUUGAAAUCUUAAAGGGUUUCCCUUUACGAAUUGUAGUUUAAAGAAGUGUUUUCUGUUGAGGUUUUGGUAAAAGUUCUUUGGAAUAGGACAUCAUAGAGGGUGAGAAUCCCGUAUUUGACCUUUACUUUCAACUUUGUGAUACACUUUCAAAGAGUCGGAUUGUUUGGGAAUGCAGUCCAAAAUGGGUGGUAAAUUUCAUCUAAAGCUAAAUAUUGGCGAGAGACCGAUAGCGAACAAGUACCGUGAGGGAAAGAUGAAAAGAACUUUGAAAAGAGAGUUAAACAGUACGUGAAAUUGUCAAAAGGGAAGCGUUUGACACCAGUGUUGUUUUUCUGAAAAUCAAUUAAAGAACUGUUUAUGCUAAGUUGUUUAGACUUUAUCAGCUAAUCUGCUUAGUUUUGAGCUUUUCUUUAAUGCACUUUUCAGUUAACAAGUCAACAUCAAUUUCUUUUGCUGUAAAAAAGCUUGAGGAAGGUGGCUUGAGAUUCGUCUUAAGUGUUUAUAGCCUCUUGCCUAUGCAGUCGGAGAGAUUGAGGUCUGCAGCGUAGAUCCUUCGGGGCUAAAUGCAUUUGUGCUAAGUUAUAGCAUUUUAUAGACAACUUGUUGACUAUGAUUUGUCUUGUAGCUUACUCGCUUAUGUUAUUUUACCUACGCUUAGGAUGUUGAGUCGUAGAGCACGCAG
rnacentral:rRNA from 1 species